rnacentral:rRNA from 1 species
CCCGAGACUCAGUGAAAUUGAACUCGCUGUGAAGAUGCAGUGUACCCGCGGCAAGACGGAAAGACCCCGUGAACCUUUACUAUAGCUUGACACUGAACAUUGAGCCUUGAUGUGUAGGAUAGGUGGGAGGCUUUGAAGUGUGGACGCCAGUCUGCAUGGAGCCGACCUUGAAAUACCACCCUUUAAUGUUUGAUGUUCUAACGUGGACCCGUGAUCCGGGUUGCGGACAGUGUCUGGUGGGUAGUUUGACUGGGGCGGUCUCCUCCUAAAGAGUAACGGAGGAGCACGAAGGUUGGCUAAUCCUGGUCGGACAUCAGGAGGUUAGUGCAAUGGCAUAAGCCAGCUUGACUGCGAGCGUGACGGCGCGAGCAGGUGCGAAAGCAGGUCAUAGUGAUCCGGUGGUUCUGAAUGGAAGGGCCAUCGCUCAACGGAUAAAAGGUACUCCGGGGAUAACAGGCUGAUACCGCCCAAGAGUUCAUAUCGACGGCGGUGUUUGGCACCUCGAUGUCGGCUCAUCACAUCCUGGGGCUGAAGUAGGUCCCAAGGGUAUGGCUGUUCGCCAUUUAAAGUGGUACGCGAGCUGGGUUUAGAACGUCGUGAGACAGUUCGGUCCCUAUCUGCCGUGGGCGCUGGAGAACUGAGGGGGGCUGCUCCUAGUACGAGAGGACCGGAGUGGACGCAUCACUGGUGUUCGGGUUGUCAUGCCAAUGGCACUGCCCGGUAGCUAAAUGCGGAAGAGAUAAGUGCUGAAAGCAUCUAAGCACGAAACUUGCCCCGAGAUGAGUUCUCCCUGAGACUUAGAGUCUCCUGAAGGAACGUUGAAGACGACGACGUUGAUAGGCCGGGUGUGUAAGCGCAGCGAUGCGUUGAGCUAACCGGUACUAAUGAACCGUGAGGCUUAACCUUACA